GACGAACGCUGGCGGCGUGCUUAACACAUGCAAGUCGAACGGAAAGGCCCUGCUUUUGUGGGGUGCUCGAGUGGCGAACGGGUGAGUAACACGUGAGUAACCUACCCUUGACUUUGGGAUAACUUCAGGAAACUGGGGCUAAUACCGGAUAGGAGCUCCUGCUGCAUGGUGGGGGUUGGAAAGUUUCGGCGGUUGGGGAUGGACUCGCGGCUUAUCAGCUUGUUGGUGGGGUAGUGGCUUACCAAGGCUUUGACGGGUAGCCGGCCUGAGAGGGUGACCGGCGACAUUGGGACUGAGAUACGGCCCAGACUCCUACGGGAGGCAGCAGUGGGGAAUAUUGCACAAUGGGCGGAAGCCUGAUGCAGCAACGCCGCGUGCGGGAUGACGGCCUUCGGGUUGUAAACCGCUUUCGCCUGUGACGAAGCGUGAGUGACGGUAAUGGGUAAAGAAGCACCGGCUAACUACGUG
rnacentral:rRNA from 1 species